GUAUUAGCCCAGUAUUUUACUGGUGACACCAUAAAGAAGCAAAAGAUGAAGCUUCACAUCAUGAUGCCUCUAUGCAGCUUCCACAACGGGACUUUGCACUGUAGUCUGCGUAGCUCCUGAAGAUGCUGAGCAAAAUGGCAACACUUGUUCUGAGAAGGCAGAGUGCAUGAACAACAGACAGUGCAAACUCCUCUUCCUACGAAGCAGUACUCACUGUCUGUAUUGUACCAUGAUGCAGUUAUGUUGUUCAGACAUUUUACUGUUACCAAGUGUUUGGGAUUGUUUUAAUCUAUUUUUCUUCCAGGUUUUCUUUAUAGAGCAACUUCAUAUAGAGCAACUUUAUUAUCCACCCAGUUGGGAGAGGUAUAUGAGUAAAAUUGGCACAGAUCUAUAGACUGCAAAAAUGAAGGGAGGCCAGACCUCACCUACUCAUACUGCACAGAGCUCAUAUUCACAUAGGUAGGGUCACUGAUGAAGACAGGACUUUAAGUUACUUGCUGAGAAGAAAAUUAACAUCAGAAAAGUAAACAGAAUUACAAAGUUCUUGACUCUCCAGCUUUGCUGAGACUCACAACCUCUUUCUCAUGACCUCCUCUAAACAUAAAAGUCACCUUAACUUUCCUUGACAUGAAGAAAUUCUCAUUUGUAUGAGACUCCAGUGACUUGCCUCACUGGCCUUUUAGGGCAUAUAUACCUCUUAAAAGAAGAAAAAGGUCAGAUUCAUUAUAGACUUCACAAUUCUACUCAUGACUACCAGGCUGUUGCAAUGUAAUGACUCCAGGAGAUAGGUCUACAGUCCUAGUGUUAAGGAAUGCAAUUUGAGCCUUUGCCGGUACAGACAUGUCACUGAUGCUACUAAAACAAAACUUGAGCUAAAAUUUGUUUCAAGUCUUUACUUGCUUGCAAUGGAAAGUUUGCUGGCAGCUGUUGUCAUCAUUAGCCUUGUGGCGAUGUUUUUUUCUGAAGUGUCUUGUGUCUUAUUGAAGCUUAAUGCUUGUUAAGUUGGGAGGGGACUUUGGGUGAUCUGCCAACAGCAGACAAUAAAGUGUUCUCUUCUCCUGUU